GCAAAGUUGGCGGUUCUAGACGUUCAACGCGUAGAGCAGUAAGCCAACCAGAAGUUGGCGUACCCCGGGGGACUGUUGGCCUACCCCAUUAGGCCAGCGCGUUAGUCUAUAACCGUAAUCUCUAUAUUGUCCGCAACCUUGCGAGCAAGUCCACAGCUUGGUAGUAUGGAUGAGGAGUGACAGGUACGCGCCCUGUCACCAGGUGAGUCGACAGAUCAGGCAGAAAAACAAACCAUUGUACAAUACAAGUUAAAAGGCGUGGACUUGAUUCUUAGUUAAAGCAGAUUAAACACUAGUGAAAAUAACUUAAAAUUGAACUUAAAACUAGUGAAACAAAGGAGUUAUAUUAAAGUUAUACUUACUAACUAGGUAACCUACAUUACUACGAGCUACAUCUAAACGAACAUUAACAGUGCAGUGCCCAUAACGAUUGUGCUGAGGUCACUAUAUACCCUCGAAAGUUGCCUACAUCAAAGCGCAAAUUACGGAAUUCGAACUCAUAAGACUGAAAGGUUAGGAAAAUAGACAUUUGACCGACAUCAGACUGACAUUUGAGCAGGAAAGGGAACUAAACGUAAGUAAAAUUACUGAAAAACUUA